rnacentral:tRNA from 1 species
GUUGUUGUGGCCGAGUGGUUAUUGCGAUGGAAUACAAAAACUUUUGGGAUCUUCCCGCGCAGGUUCGAAUCCUGCCGACAUCG